AGCUGUCUGUCCCUACCUCCUCGUGGUACUGGCCGGGGUACGAGUAACCUUGGGGAAGAUCGGGUAACCAACCCCCGGUGGGAACUUUGGUCGUAUGCUGACAGGGAAGG
rnacentral:ribozyme from 1 species